rnacentral:rRNA from 1 species
GAUGAACGCUGGCGGCGUGCCUAAUACAUGCAAGUCGAGCGAACAGAUAAGGAGUUUGCCCUUUUGACGUUAGCGGCGGACGGGUGAGUAACACGUGGGCAACUCAUCUAUAAGACUGGGAUAACUUCGGGAAACCGGAGCUAAUACCGGCUAAUAUCUCGAACAGCCUGGUUCGAUAGUGAAAGAUGGCUUUGCUAUCACUUAUAGAUGGACCAGCGCCGUAUUAGCUAGUUGGUAGGGUAACGGCUUACCAAGGCGACGAUACGUAGCCGACCUGAGAGGGUGAUCGGCCACACUGGAACUGAGACACGGUCCAGACUCCUACGGGAGGCAGCAGUGGGGAAUCUUGCACAAUGGGCGAAAGCCUGACGGAGCAACGCCGCGUGUGUGAUGAAGGUCUUCGGAUCGUAAAGCUCUGUUGUUAGGGAAGAACACACUUGUAAGUAUCUGUUCGCGGCUUGACGGUACCGGAUGAGAAAGCCACGGCUAACUACGUG